GAUGAACGCUGGCGGCGUGCUUAACACAUGCAAGUCGAACGAACGGGCGAGGAGCCUGCGCCUCGGAUGUUAGCCGCGUACGUGUGAUUACCGAGUGGAUAACCAAGCUAGAGCAAUCGUACACCUACGAAAGCCCGGACCUCAUACCGUGUAAUUAUUACAAUCGCAUGGUGCAAAGGUGAAUGACGUUGUUGCUGACGCUAAUAGAUUGAUCCGUGUUGCAUUAGCUAGUUGGUGAGGUAGCGGCGUACCAAGGCAACGAUGAUUAGCCGACCUGAGAGGGCGAACGGCCAAACGGGAACUGAGACACGGCCCAGACUCCUACGGGAGGCAGCAGUAGGGAAUCUUACGCAAUGGGCGAAAGCCUGAUGGAGCAACGCCGCGUGAGUGAUGAAGGUCUUCGGAUGGUAAAGCUCUGUUGUUAGGGAAGAAGAGAUGUGUAAGUAAAUGCGCAGAUAAUGACGGUACCUGAGGAGAAAGCACCGGCUAACUACGUG
rnacentral:rRNA from 1 species